rnacentral:misc_RNA from 1 species
AACUGAUACUACCUGCGGGAACCUGCGGAGGGAUCAUUACCGAGUUUACAACUCCCAAACCCAUGUGAACAUACCUGUCUUGUUGCUUCGGCGGCGCCCACGGCCCUCACAGGCUUGGGGCCCGCCAGAGGACCCAAACAAAACUCUUUGCAUUUUGAAUACAGUAUUCUGAGUGACAUGAUUAAAUAAAAUCAAAACUUUUAACAAUGGAUCUCU